CCUACGGGAGGCAGCAGUGAGGAAUAUUGGUCAAUGGACGAGAGUCUGAACCAGCCAAGUAGCAUGAAGGAUGACUGCCCUAUGGGUUGUAAACUUCUUUUAUAUGGGAAUAAAACGUUCCACGUGUGGGAUUUUGUAUGUACCAUAUGAAUAAGGAUCGGCUAACUCCGUGCCAGCAGCCGCGGUAAUACGGAGGAUCCGAGCGUUAUCAGGAUUUAUUGGGUUUAAAGGGAGCGUAGGUGGAUUGUUAAGUCAGUUGUGAAAGUUUGCGGCUCAACCGUAAAAUUGCAGUUGAAACUGGCAGUCUUGAGUACAGUAGAGGUGGGCGGAAUUCGUGGUGUAGCGGUGAAAUGCUUAGAUAUCACGAAGAACUUCGAUUGCGAAGGCAGUUCACUGGACUGCAACUGACACUGAGGCUCGAAAGUGUGGGUAUCAAACAGGAUUAGAUACCCUUGUAGUC
rnacentral:rRNA from 1 species